CGGCUUGAAUAAGCGUGGGGGUUCACAAGUCAAAGUCUGGUCAGUCCCACAAAUCUGAUUGCCAGUAGCUAGGAUUAAAAAGAUAUGUCGUUCAUAAAUGAUAAAGCUGGGGGACUUAGCUUAGUUGGUAGAGCGCCUGCUUUGCACGCAGGAGGUCAGGAGUUCGACUCCCCUAGUCUCCACCAUACAUUACGAAGUAAUGUAGAAACUAAAGUUAAAUUCCAAAGAUAGCUUAUAGAAUUUAGUAAGUAGAUAGCUUAUUAAGUUCUGUGAUUUAUCACAGUUUACUACUCACCGACGAGGUGGUAGUUAAUCAUUAACAGAUUAGAAAAUUGAGUCUGAAAUAAAUUGUUCAAACUCGAUUAGAUAUAAGCUUAACAAGCAACUGUUAAGAAGGUAUUUAUUCCGAGAACUAGCAAAUUAACUGAAUCAAGCGCUUUGGUAUAUGAAUUAGAUUGAAGCUGUACGGUGAUUAAAUUCACAGGACAACAGAUGGUAGCGAUGAAUAAUCGCACGGACAACACUCACUUGUAGGUGCUGACGACUGUUUGGGGUUGUAUAGUCAAGUAAUUAAGUGCAUGUGGUGGAUGCCUUGGCAGUCAGGGGCGAUGAAAGACGUAAUAGCCUGCGAUAAGCUCCGGGGAGGCGGCAAAUAUCCUUUGGUCCGGAGAUUUCUGAAUGGGGGGACCCACCCGCUAUAAGGCGGGUAUCAUAAGCUGAAUACAUAGGCUUAUGAGGCGAACGAGGGGAAGCGAAACAUCUCAGUACCCUUAGGAAAAGAAAUCAAUUGAGAUUCCCUUAGUAGCGGCGAGCGAACGGGGAGCAGCCCAUUAAGUUGUGUGUGUUCUAGUGGAACGCUCUGGGAAGUGCGAACGUAGAGGGUGGUAUUCCCGUACACGAAAGGGCACACACAAUGAUGACGAGUAGGGCGAGGCACGUGAAACCUUGUCUGAAUA
rnacentral:sRNA from 2 species